rnacentral:rRNA from 1 species
UACGGGGGGGAGCUAGCGUUUUUCGGAAUUACUGGGCGUAAAGGGCGCGUAGGCGGUUUAAUAAAAGUUGAAAGUGAAAUCCCCGAGCUUAACUCGGGAACUGCUUUCAAAACUCAUUAACUAGAGGAUGAUAGAGGAUAGUAGAAUUCCUAGUGUAGAGGUGAAAUUCUUAGAUAUUAGGAGGAAUACCGGUGGCGAAGGCGGCUAUCUGGAUCAUUUCUGACGCUGAGGCGCGAAAAGCGUGGGGGAGCAAACAGG